UCGACCUUCUCGGUUGCGCUGUCUAGGCAGCGUGUUGGUGGACUGCGCUUGCGAGGGAUUUCCAGUAGUUUUGCGACGAGAAUUGGUUCUUCGAGAGCGAGUAGCGGAGCGCCUUUCUUCACGGUCCUCAUUGUGAUGAUUGUCGAGUUGACCUCCCUGGGGGCCUAUCCUUUCGUGAAUAUUUCUCUGUGAGCGGGCAGCGGAGCGCCUUUCUUCUUGAUCCUCGUCUCGAUGGCCGUCAAGUUGACCUCCUUGGGAGCCUAGCCUUUCAUGAACGCCUUCAUGCUGGCCCAGGCGAGCGUGGAUGUCAGGUCUUGGGCCCAGCCUAUCGCGCACGUUGGUCCUUAAAUUCAAUCUAGAUGGG
rnacentral:lncRNA from 1 species